UGUUGAUAAAUCCAUUCCGUACUGACGCCACAAAGCUGCGAGUGUCUGUUAGACGCUAUUCAACACAUCAACAGACAUAUUUUGGUUAUGACGAGUGUAUGAUAAUUUCCCCCAAAAUACGAUAAUUGUAUGUCUUUAGUACGAUAAUCCUACAUUUCUCACCUGGUAACACUGCGUCUCACACCUGCCAGCUAUCAGGCUCCUUAAGGCAGCUUUUUAAGGAGCGGGUUGCUGAGCAUUCGACGCCUGAGUGUCGUCCUUUGCGGUACCUCAAGUCCCCCGCAUCUUGUCCUUGACUGAAAACCCUGUGAAAGAUUUUUGUAACCUUAAGCUCUGCUCCUUCCUCCAAGGUGCCUCCUGAGGCAAACUCCCUGGAUCCUCCCGGUGAUCCUUGUGCAGCCUGGUUCAGCAUACCUCUGGAGUUCCACGUUAGGAUCGCAGGCUGACUUCCACCUGCCCCAAGACGCUCAUCAACCGAAAACGGUCCGCCCUCCAACGAACUGCUUACCUGUGGAAAACACAGACCUGCCUACCCAAAACUGACCUCCCCUCCCGGACUCCUAAUCCACCUGCAACCAGGGCGAACCGCCGGAGCAGCCGAGAGUUCCUCACACAUAUUAUUGUCUCUUCAAAAUAAAUAUCUUAAACUUC